GGGGGGCUAACAUGCAAGUCCGACGAGAAGCCCAUUUGUGAUUCCUUCGGGAUGAACUGUUNGGGUGGAAAGUGGCGGACGGGCGAGUAACGCGUGAGUAACCUGCCCAUAAGAGGGGGAUAAUCCUUGGAAACGAGGACUAAUACCGCAUAUUGAAAUUUUAUGGCAUCAUAGAAUUUUGAAAGAUUUAUCGCUUAUGGAUGGACUCGCGUCAGAUUAGCUAGUUGGUGAGGUAACGGCUCACCAAGGCGACGAUCUGUAGCCGAACUGAGAGGUUGAUCGGCCGCAUUGGGACUGAGACACGGCCCAGACUCCUACGGGAGGCAGCAGUGGGGAAUAUUGCGCAAUGGGGGCAACCCUGACGCAGCAACGCCGCGUGCAGGAGGAAGGUCUUCGGAUUGUAAACUGUUGUCGCAGGGGAAGAAGACAGUGACGGUACCCUGUGAGAAAGUUACGGCUAACUACGUGCCAGCAGCCGCGGUAAUACGUAGGUGACAAGCGUUGUCCGGAUUUACUGGGUGUAAAGGGCGCGUAGGCGGGAUAGCAAGUCAGUCGUGAAAUGCCGAGGCUUAACCUCGGAGCUGCGAUUGAAACUGUUAUUCUUGAGUAUCGGAGAGGAAAGCGGAAUUCCUAGUGUAGCGGUGAAAUGCGUAGAUAUUAGGAGGAACACCAGUGGCGAAGGCGGCUUUCUGGACGACAACUGACGCUGAGGCGCGAAAGUGUGGGGAGCAAGCAGGAUUAGAUACCCUG
rnacentral:rRNA from 1 species